rnacentral:rRNA from 1 species
GAUGAACGCUGGCGGCGUGCUUAACACAUGCAAGUCGAGCGAAGCACUUUGGAAAGAUUCUUCGGAUGAUUUCCUUUGUGACUGAGCGGCGGACGGGUGAGUAACGCGUGGGUAACCUGCCUCAUACAGGGGGAUAACAGUUAGAAAUGACUGCUAAUACCGCAUAAGACCACGGUACCGCAUGGUACAGUGGUAAAAACUCCGGUGGUAUGAGAUGGACCCGCGUCUGAUUAGGUAGUUGGUGGGGUAACGGCCUACCAAGCCGACGAUCAGUAGCCGACCUGAGAGGGUGACCGGCCACAUUGGGACUGAGACACGACCCAGACUCCUACGGGAGGCAGCAGUGGGGAAUAUUGCACAAUGGAGGAAACUCUGAUGCAGCGACGCCGCGUGAAGGAUGAAGUAUUUCGGUAUGUAAACUUCUAUCAGCAGGGAAGAAAAUGACGGUACCUGACUAAGAAGCCCCGGCUAACUACGUG